CCAAUUUAUUUAGUUCACUGCUCCCGCCAAAAGUAGAGGCUUCACCACCGGAAAAUCUGAAAGUCUUGUACGUUUCCCCCAAACGAAGAUGAUGAUGCUCAACUCCGACGAAGAUGCAGAAGGUUUUGUGGAAGACACGCGAUGAAUUUUUGUGGAUAGAGAUGUCGAUGAGAAAUUUGCGAGUAAUAUGAUAUCAGCAGAAAAGGAAACGCUAGAAGAAGAUGAUCCGAUGGUGCCUAAGAUGUCAGAGGUGGGUAUGAUGUUCAACGAUGAAAAAGAAUUGUGAAAUUUCUACAAAAGGUAUGCAUAUCAUAUCGAUUUUUCAGUUAGAAGAAGGAACUCGAAAAAGGGAGAUGACGGAAAAAUGAAAUAUGUAACUUUAACAUGUGGCCGUGAAGGUCGAAGGUCUACCAGCACCAGUGGUUCUUCAAAGCCCCAACCAACUACUCAGACAGAUUGUAAAGCUAGCCACUGCCUCUGCAGAUAUUUAUGGAAUCUGGAGAAUAAAAAUAGUCUACCUCGCCACAACCAUAAACAAGUCCUUCGAAGUCGAGGUUGUAUGAUUGCAAUCGAGAAUUAAGUUCGCAUGUGAAACGGAAGCUUGAAGUGAAUGAUAUGACUGGAAUUCCUUUGCACAAGAGUUUUAAUUCUACAAUGGUUGAAGCAGGUGAAUAUGAGUAUCUGACUUAUGUGGAAAAGGAUUGUCAAAAUUAUAUUGAACAAAUGCGACAACUAAGACUUGGUGAAGGAGAUGUCGUAGCAAUACAGUCUUACUUUUCUAGGAUGCAAGCUUAGUGCUCCGAAUUCUACUUUAGUAUGGACUUAAACGAUGAUUCCAGACUGAAAAAUGUAUUUUUGACAGAUAAUAGGUCUAGGCAAACUUACAAGGAAUUCGACGAUGUUGUAACAUUUGAUACCACUUAUCUAAUCAACAAGUAUGACAUGCAUUUCGCCCCUUUUGUUGGCGUUAAUCAUCAUGGACAGUCAACAUUGAUCGGUUGUGGUUUGUUGCCCACUGAGGAAACAAAUACUUUUGUGUGGCUAUUUAGGACAUAGCUUCAGUGUAUACACGGAAAAGCUCCCCAUGAAAUCAUUACUGAUCGAGAUAGGGCUAUGCAAAAUACAGUUCAAAUUGUUUUUCUAAUACGAAGUAUAGAUGGUGUUUAUGGCUUAUUCUGAAGAAGUUGCUCGAAAAGUUUGGAUACCACAUCGAUAAAGCUUCCAUUUUUUUUACCGUACAUGCAUUGGUGUAUGAUUCGCAGUUCAUGGAAGAAUUUGAAAAAGGUUGUGGGGCGAUGAUUGACACAUACGGGUUGCACAAUAAUGAGUGGUUGUCGGGACUAUUUGAUAAUAGAGGUCGUUGGGCUCCUUGCUACCUGAAAACUACAUUUUGGACAGAGAUGUCGACAACUCAGUGAAGUGAGAGUGUGAAUGCAUUCUUCGAUGGGUAUAUUCAUUCGAAGACCUCGUUGAAGUAAUUUGUCGAACAGUAUGAAUGGGCACUGAAGAAUAAGGUAGAGAAGGAGUUUCAGGCCGACUUCAAGUCAUACUCCCAAAUGGUACCAUGCACGACAAUGUUUGAAAUGGAGAAUCAAUAUCAAAACUAUUACACCAUUUCGAAGUUCAAGAAAGCUCAAGUUGAGCUUACAGAGAAGGCUUAUUGUGACCUCAUUUCCACUACGGAGGGCAGUUCAUGCAUGAUCUAUAAAAUACGGGAGGUUAUAAUGGUUAAUGAUAGACGGAAGAUGAGAUUUUUUUUGUCUCAUUUCAACAAGAUAAUUGCAAAAUUAUUUGUAGUUGUCAUUUGUUUAAGUUUCGAGAAAUUCUGUGCUGUCAUGUUAUCGUAGUCCUGAUCCGUAAUGACAUCAUGUCUCUGCCGGAUAGGUUUAUACUACGAAGAUGGAGGAGAGACGUUUGUAGAGCACACACCAAGGUUGCAGUGAACUAUGCCAAGUUGGUACGUAUGCCUGAACAGUUGAGAUACGACAAUAUGUGUCAGGCUUUUACCGAGGUUACAAACCUUGCAACUGAUGAUAAGGGGCGCUGCUAUGCGAUCAAGGAGUGGAUAACUUAUCAAAAGCAAGAGUUGAUAACAAUAAAGUUAGGCUCCGGAAGUAAUUGGGCUUCACAUUAAGCUAUUCAGUUAUCCUCACGGUGUAAUGAAUUUAAAAACAAUGCCAUACAAGAUCCUAUAUUAGCGAGAAGAAAGGGCACGCCUAAGAAACUUCGGAGAAAAGGCCCCUUGGAGACAUCUUCAAAGAAGGCAAAGGCUACGUCAACUUCGGCCAGAGGAAAGAGACCAACGUCCAAGCACAAUGAUACGCCAUCUACACCCGUCAUCCAAGCAUCUCAACAGUAUUCUAUGCAAACACCGUUUUCGUAUUUACAACUAUUGUUGGUGAUGCAAAAAGUCCUACCUUCCCACAACACUGGCUAGCCUCAAGUUUCGUUCCCCUCAACAUCAACAAAUGUCAUAUUCAAUGAUCUAGGUUUGCACACGUUUAAAUCUCUACAUUUGCAUUAGUGCACAUUUUAUGCAUGUACUUACGACAGGUCGUUCGGUUCCAUACAACUAUCCACAUUUCCCACAAGAAGGUGGUCCAGGCAUAUGAACUACGGAUGAAGAAUUUUUGGACUUUUGUUAUUUGUCCUUUGUUGUCUAUCAUUUUAGGAUUUUUGGGACAUGUUUUUUACUUCACGAAGUAAAAAAAAUUGCCUAAAAGUGAAAUGUUUCUAUUUAGUUUGUAGGGAUAAUUCUGUAAAUUGUCUUAGUCCAUUUCCACUAGGAAGGAAGGGUGCAUUCUUGACCUCAUUAGUUAUUCAUUUCUCGACUACGACUGUACUAUGAUUGAUACUCAAGCAUUUGUAAAUAACAAUUUUAGACCGUGCCUAUGAAAUAUC